AUGGGGUUGAAUUUGUCAUUGUAUCAAGUUCUCCGGGAAAUGGACAGUUCAAGUGUUGGAUUCAUCCCAGCACCGAUUACUUCAGGAGAGACCAGGAGUGAUUGCUCUUAACAAAAUGGCAGCAACCACAUUAUUCGAGCAAUUAAAACAGAGGCCUUUUAGCCGGUCCCACAAGUAGAGGCUUGGAGAAAAAUUUUAAACAAAGAAGAAAAAGUUAAAAGAGAAAUAAGUGUUGGAAGAGAAAAGCAUGGAAGCAGAAGAAACGCCUGUCCAGACCCGAUGGCUUUCUCCUGAGCGGAUUAAAAUAAAGACGCAGAAAACAGCUGGAAGCAGGAGACGAAGAGAGAGCCACUCAAGCAAAUGUGGGAGGAUUGGGAGAGCAACAGAAAAUCAGGGCGCGCCUCCCCCACACCUCCUCCCCGUGCAAUAAACAAA